GGGGGUGUUCUGGCUUCGACGGGGGUAGUGAGAUGGCUUGGUGCAUGCCGAGGGGGCAGCUUUCCUCGUUAAUCCAGCAGCAAAACUCAUAAUUGCCAACGAUAGCAAUUACGCUCUCGCCGCUUAAGGCGUAGCCCCGAACCCACUUGUGCUCGUGCUUGUCGGUGUAGGGUCAUUAUCACGGGAUCGUCCGAACGCCGCCGCCUGUCGGUGCAGGACUAAAUCAAGCAGGCUGGUCCUUCGGCGCGCUUCGCACACCGUGCUGCCGCGGGACGAGAUCCAACGGUGAGCUAAGCAUGUAGUACCGGGCGUCAAGCGCCUUCGGACGCGGGUUCGACUCCCGCCACCUCCACCA
rfam:Rhodanobacter sp. 115 contig454, whole genome shotgun sequence.